AAGAAAAAGAGGAGCUGGUAUCAGGCUCAAUAUGCCCAUAACACCUAGCCCCGCCACACCCCCAAGGGUAUUCAGCAGUGAUUAACAUUGUAAACUAGCGAAAGCUAAAUUCAGUUACUAGCUAAAAAAACCGGUCAAUCUCGUGCCAGCCACCGCGGUUAUACGGGCAGGUUUAAAUUGAUAACAUCGGCACAAAGCGUGGUUAGAUUCUCACUUUAAUAAAGCAAAAAUUAAGCCUGGCUGUGAUAUGCUUUCGCUUUUAAUAACCUCAAUCACGAAAGUAGCUUUAACUCCUAUUGAACCCACGAUCGCUAGGGCACAAACUGGGAUUAGAUACCCCACUAUGCCUAGCCCUAAACUUUGAUUUCUCCGCCCGGGAACUACGAGCGUCAGCUUAAAACCCAAAAGACUUGGCGGUGCCCUAUACCACCUAGAGGAGCCUGUUCUAUAAUCGAUAAUCCCCGAUUCACCUCACCAUCUCUUGCCAAUACCGCCUGUAUACCUCCGUCGCCAACUGACCCCUCAAGGGCAAUAGUCGGUUAAAUGGCUUUCCCCCAGUAAGUCAGGUCAAGGUGCAGCGAAUGAGAUGGGAAGAAAUGGGCUACAUUUUCUACUAAUAGACUAUACGAAAGAUCACUAUGAAAUCUGAUUGGAAGGUGGAUUUAGCAGUAAAAAGAGACAAGAGCGCUCUUUUUAAGUUGGCUCUAGGGCGCGCACACACCGCCCGUC
rnacentral:rRNA from 1 species